rnacentral:rRNA from 1 species
CCUACGGGGGGCAGCAGUAGGGAAUAUUGCUCAAUGGGGGAAACCCUGAAGCAGCAACGCCGCGUGGAGGAUGAAGGUUUUCGGAUUGUAAACUCCUUUUGUUAGAGAAGAUAAUGACGGUAUCUAACGAAUAAGCACCGGCUAACUCCGUGCCAGCAGCCGCGGUAAUACGGAGGGUGCAAGCGUUACUCGGAAUCACUGGGCGUAAAGAGCGCGUAGGCGGGAUAGCAAGUCAGAUGUGAAAUCCUAUGGCUUAACCAUAGAACUGCAUUUGAAACUGUUAUUCUAGAGUAUGGGAGAGGUAGGUGGAAUUCUUGGUGUAGGGGUGAAAUGCGUAGAGAUCAAGAGGAAUACUCAUUGCGAAGGCGACCUGCUAGAGCAUAACUGACGCUGAUGCGCGAAAGCGUGGGGAGCAAACAGGAUUAGAUACCCCUGUAGUC